UACGUAUGGUGCGAACGUUGUUCGGAAUCACUGGGCAUAAAGAGCACGUAGGCGGUUGAGCAAGUCCAUUGUGAAAUCCCCCGGCCUAACCGGGGACUGCGUUGGAUACUACUUGACUUGAGUGCAGGAGGGGAGAGUGGAAUUCCAGGUGGAGCGGUGAAAUGCGUAGAUAUCUGGAGGAACGCCGGCGGCGAAAGCGACUCUCUGGUCUGUAACUGACGCUGAGGUGCGAAAGCUAGGGGAGCAAACGGG
rnacentral:rRNA from 1 species